UACGUAGGGUGCGAGCGUUGUCCGGAAUUAUUGGGCGUAAAGAGCUCGUAGGCGGUCUGUCGCGUCGGUCGUGAAAACCUGCAGCUUAACUGUGGGCGUGCGGUCGAUACGGGCAUGACUGGAGUUCGGCAGGGGAGACUGGAAUUCCUGGUGUAGCGGUGAAAUGCGCAGAUAUCAGGAGGAACACCGGUGGCGAAGGCGGGUCUCUGGGAAUAUCCUGACGCUGAGGAGCGAAAGUGUGGGGAGCGAACAGG
rnacentral:rRNA from 1 species